rnacentral:rRNA from 1 species
GACGAACGCUGGCGGCGUGCUUAACACAUGCAAGUCGAACGAUGAAGCCUAGCUUGCUAGGUGGAUUAGUGGCGGACGGGUGAGUAAUACGUGAGUAACCUACCUUUAACUCUGGGAUAAGCCCGGGAAACUGGGUCUAAUACCGGAUACGACCAAUCUCCGCAUGGGGUGUUGGUGGAAAGCGUUAUGUAGUGGUUAUAGAUGGGCUCACGGCCUAUCAGCUUGUUGGUGAGGUAACGGCUCACCAAGGCGACGACGGGUAGCCGGCCUGAGAGGGUGACCGGCCACACUGGGACUGAGACACGGCCCAGACUCCUACGGGAGGCAGCAGUGGGGAAUAUUGCACAAUGGGCGCAAGCCUGAUGCAGCGACGCCGCGUGAGGGAUGACGGCCUUCGGGUUGUAAACCCCUGUUAGCAGGGAAGAAGAGAGAUUGACGGUACCUGCAGAGAAAGCGCCGGCUAACUACGUG